rnacentral:rRNA from 1 species
GACGAACACUGGCGGCGUGCUUAACACAUGCAAGUCGAACGGAAAGACCCUGCUUUUGUGGGGUGCUCGAGUGGCGAACGGGUGAGUAACACGUGAGUAACCUGCCCUUGACUUUGGGAUAACUUCAGGAAACUGGGGCUAAUACCGGAUAGGAGCUCCUGCUGCAUGGUGGGGGUUGGAAAGUUUCGGCGGUUGGGGAUGGACUCGCGGCUUAUCAGCUUGUUGGUGGGGUAGUGGCUUACCAAGGCUUUGACGGGUAGCCGGCCUGAGAGGGUGACCGGCCACAUUGGGACUGAGAUACGGCCCAGACUCCUACGGGAGGCAGCAGUGGGGAAUAUUGCACAAUGGGCGGAAGCCUGAUGCAGCAACGCCGCGUGCGGGAUGACGGCCUUCGGGUUGUAAACCGCUUUCGCCUGUGACGAAGCGUGAGUGACGGUAAUGGGUAAAGAAGCACCGGCUAACUACGUG